rnacentral:rRNA from 1 species
GACGAACGCUGGCGGCGUGCUUAACACAUGCAAGUCGAACGGAAAGGCCCUGCUUGCAGGGUACUCGAGUGGCGAACGGGUGAGUAACACGUGGGUGAUCUGCCCUGCACUUCGGGAUAAGCCUGGGAAACUGGGUCUAAUACCGGAUAGGAGCCAUUUUUAGUGUGAUGGUUGGAAAGUUUUUUCGGUGUAGGAUGAGCUCGCGGCCUAUCAGCUUGUUGGUGGGGUAAUGGCCUACCAAGGCGGCGACGGGUAGCCGGCCUGAGAGGGUGGACGGCCACAGUUGGACUGAGAUACGGCCCAGACUCCUACGGGAGGCAGCAGUGGGAAAUAUUGCACAAUGGGCGCAAGCCUGAUGCAGCGACGCCGCGUGGGGGAUGACGGCCUUCGGGUUGUAAACUCCUUUCGCUAGGGACGAAGCUUUUUGUGACGGUACCUAGAUAAGAAGCACCGGCUAACUACGUG